AUGCUCGCCUUGGGCAUCAUCCGGAUCUCUACCUCGCCGAUUUCGGCGCCGGUCCUCCUCGUCCGCAAGGCUGACGCCACGUGGCGUUUCUGCAUCGACUACCGUGCUCUUAACGCCCAGACGCUCAAGGACGAAUUUCCCAUUCUGGACGUCGAUGAGCUCCUGGACGAGCUACAUGGGGCACGCUUCUUCACCAAGCUCGACCUCCGUUCAGGCUACCACCAGGUGCGGAUGCACCCGAACGAUGUCGCCAAGACGACGUUUCGGACUCAUCACGGCCAAUUCGAGUUCUUGGUGAUGCCUUUUGGUCUCUCCAACGCCCCGGCGACCUUUCAGGCCUUGAUGAACGAUGUUCUCCGCCCCUACUUACGCCGGUUUGUGCUCAUUUUCUUUGAUGACAUUCUUAUCUACAGUGCCUCGUGGGCAGAGCACCUUCAGAACAUCACCAUCGUCUUCAACGAGCUUCGAGCCCACCAUCUUCACCUUAAGCGCUCGAAGUGCUCGUUUGGCACGCCUUCGGUCGCUUACCUCGGCCACGUCAUCUCGGUCAAGGGUGUCGCUAUGGAUGCCGACAAGGUGGCGGCUGUCGCGGCCUGGCCG
rnacentral:rRNA from 1 species